GCGGGCGUAGUUCAAUGGCAGAACUCCAGCUUCCCAAGCUGGUAGCGCGGGUUCGAUUCCCGUCGCCCGCUCCG
rnacentral:tRNA from 1 species